GAGAGGAUACAAAGGCUCCUCUGCCUAGAGAAAGUGACUGAAACAGCUGCCCUACAAUUCCUCCUCCUCUACAGCUUCUUGUGAGAAAGGCUCAUAUGGCUUCUCAGUUCCAAACUGCAACCACUCACAUUUAUGGAGCUGCUGACUGAGAGACCAUCUGCUUCUCUUGCUUGCUUCAAUAAAGACAUCUCUGAUGGCAGCAUCAUCGCUGAUUGCCAGAGUGAAAACCCAAUCAGCUGACACACAGCUCUCAUUUGGAAAUAUGCCCAGUGGAGGCACAAGAGGGAAGUUCACUCCAUUCUCGCAGGCCAGCUUCAUUCCUGUGCGUGUGCAUUAAACAAGGCAGCCAGAAGCCUUAACCUCCCAACCCUGGUGUUACAUGCCACAGCCAUCGUGAUUCAAAAGGAGCAAAGGACCUCCGCAUGAUACAGCCACUUCUGCGGAGAAGCUGGCUUUUAACUUUCGGCCAGCCCUGAUGGACAUGGCUCACGGGGAACGUACGCCGGCAGUCCACCUGCAAACACCCCACGGCGGAGAUGGCCUCAAGCGCUCCGACGCAGGUGCCCCCAGGGACCCUGCCCCACGCUCCUCCCGGGAGAGUUCAGCCAAGCGAGCUGUCCUGUUGCACACCCCCGGGUGAGCUCGCCUUUUAUGAAGGUCAGAGCAGUGUCUCAGGGCUCACCCUGACUUCAGAGUCGGUCCUGGGCUCGUGCUAUUUGCGGAUGAGUACUGCAGCCCCGCAUCAGGCAAGCCCAGGAGAAACCAUGCUUCCACAAGAGACGUGGCCCUGGAGCCAUGUCCUAGAAGUGUCCACGGUGCCAGCAGGCUGCUCGUCAGCCGACCUGUCUCAGCAUGCAAAGCGUGCAUCUCCCUGCGAGCCACGCUCCUCUCUGCCCCUCGCAUCCCACAUCGCCACUCUCCUGUGCUGCAGGAGAUGUUCCUGGUGUUCUGACAUUUUAUAUUUAUGUGUUAAACUCUACUCCUGUUUUUUCCACCUCUUCUUUCUUCUGCCUCCCUCAGCAGCUAGCGGUUAAAAGUUUGUCCAUUUGUUGAUCUUUUCCUGCAUUUUGUGGAAAAUUCCCUUUGUACAUUACUAGCUCUUUUAUUGACAAAACUAUGUUUUCAAGAAAAAUAAAAGACCUCUUACUUUUGCCA
rnacentral:lncRNA from 1 species